CUGAAGCUUCCAAUGGAUUCCUCAUUGAUGACACCUGUGUGUUCGGAGAGGAGGUCUUUGUUUGUACAGAGCGAAGCACAGGCAAAGGACAAUGUCUAUCAAUGUGGUAAAGGAUCCUGUUAUGUACAAGAAUACUUGGAGGAUUGACAACUUCUCAGAGCUAGACGCCGAAUCCUACGACUCAAAAGUAUUUACUGCGGAAGACCUGAAAUGGAAGAUACAGCUCUAUCCCAAGUUAAAAAGGCAAUGGAGUUGGUGCCCAUCUGGCUCUUUGGGCGUUAGCCGAACCAAAAUCUCUUCCUCCUGACUGUAAAAUAUAUGCAGAGUUUAGCCUAUGCCUCCUAGACCAGGUGCAUGCCAGACAUCAGUUUGGUAAAGGUAAAGAUUUGCUUAAUCCAAUUGCUACAUAAUCAUAUGAGGAAAUAAGGAUAUGAAAAUGUUAUAAACUUCAAAAUUAAGGAUGUUUUAUUGCCGGCCUCUUAUGAAAUUCACCCCAUGAACGACGACGACGCUCGAGUUCUUUGUGGCGUUUGAAUCUUGAUGGCAUACGAUACAACGUGGUGAUGCUUACUAUUGAACUUGAGUUCUGUGGAAGGUUGUUUGAUAAUUUAUGCUUGUAACCUACUGAAAGUGUUCACAAUUUGUGGUUGGUUCUUGCGAAAUGUUGACUCUUGUUGGGCUUUUAGUAGAAAGCAACUGAAUGUUUUGAGUAA